rnacentral:rRNA from 1 species
UACGUAGGGGGCAAGCGUUGUCCGGAAUCAUUGGGCGUAAAGAGCGUGUAGGCGGUCCGGCAAGUCCGCUGUGAAAGUCGGGGGCUCAACCCUCGGAUGCCGGUGGAUACUGUCGGGCUUGAGUACGGAAGAGGCGAGUGGAAUUCCUGGUGUAGCGGUGAAAUGCGCAGAUAUCAGGAGGAACACCAAUUGCGAAGGCAGCUCGCUGGGACGUUACUGACGCUGAGACGCGAAAGCGUGGGGAGCAAACAGG